UACGUAGGUGGCAAGCGUUGUCCGGAUUUAUUGGGUUUAAAGGGUGCGUAGGCGGUUUUUUAAGUCAGUGGUGAAAUACGGCAGCUCAACUGUCGAGGUGCCAUUGAUACUGGGAAACUUGAGUACUGAUGAGGUAGGCGGAAUGGACGGUGUAGCGGUGAAAUGCUUAGAUAUCGUCCAGAACACCGAUAGCGAAGGCAGCUUACUAAGGAGUAACUGACGCUGAGGCACGAAAAGUGUGGGGAUCAAACAGG
rnacentral:rRNA from 1 species